rnacentral:lncRNA from 1 species
CUCAGAGCCACGUCUCUCCACCUACAUAAUCUGCUCCACCUGACUAUAUGCAACUCUGAUGCUGGAGCUAUGAUGUAGGUCCUUUCCUUACACCCCUUCGCUCUAAACUCAUGUCAAAUCCCUUUCCAUCUGUGAAACCACCUCUGUCUGAUCCUCCACCUGAACCUAAAGUCCUCCUGAUGCUGCAGAAGUCGACUUUGUACCUGAGUCAUCUGAGAUCAACCACUCAAUGCUGUCCUGUUAAGCCUGCUAGUGUAUCUCGAUCACCGUUGCUGCCU